GUGCCGCCAAGGCGGUCUCUUCGGCCCCCUGCAUCAGGCCCCUCAUUCCGCUUGGAGGACUUUCUCCGCCCAGCGAGGUGCGGCGAUGAGGCCACCUCCAGUAUUAAGACUGGAGACGUUUGUAGGAUGAUUCGGUCCAGCCCUGAGGCUCCGGGAGAAAGGGCGAGGACACCGGGAGGUGCUAAGCGGUGGCUGGGUAUGUCGAGUAUUAACUUUUCGGAGUCAAAGCCUUCCUCAAUCAAACUGAAGAACCCGAAGCCCUGUAAUUAAUCCAAACCCGCAGAGACAUGGAGUUCCUGCGGAAUGCUGGGCAGAAAUCAUUCAUGUCCCCAAAACAGAGGAAAUUACGCCCUAGCUCACAAAGAUGUUCAAGACAGCUGUUUAAGUGGGAAUCUUUACCCCUCCACCUCCAGAGCUUAGAAAACAAAACAAAACAAUUCUUUGCACUCUCAGCCAGUAGAAGUUUAACUCUGUACUGUCAAGCAAUUUGACAAUUACUUUAUUCUUUCAUUUUUAGAAAGUUUGAUAUGUAAAAAAGAAUAUAUAUUAAUGUAAGUUAUCAAACAUAGUAAAGUGAACACCUGUGAAUGUACACCCAACUUAUGAAACAACCUGUAUUAUUGAUUCUUCCUGUGUGCUCCUUCCAUAUCCCACCUUCUCCCUGCUUCCUCUCAAGGUAAUCACUAUCCUGAUUUUUUAAAAAUCAUUUCAACUUUUCUUUAUGUAAUUACCAUAUAUAUUCCCAGACAAUAUACUGUUUAUUUUCACUUAUCUUUCAAUGAUAAAAUUACUUCCAUGCUGUAUUAUGCUGCUGCUUCUUUUCAAUCAACAUUAUGCUUCUAGAAUCCAUCCCUGUUGUAUGUAAUUGUGUUUUCCCUGCUUUGUAGUGUUCUAUUAUAUGAACAUACCAUGAUUUAUAAAUCCAUUUUCUUAUCUCCAA